rnacentral:rRNA from 1 species
UAGCUAGUUGGUGAGGUAAAGGCUUACCAAGGCGACGAUCUGUAGCGGGUCUGAGAGGAUGAUCCGCCACACUGGAACUGAGACACGGUCCAGACUCCUACGGGAGGCAGCAGUGGGGAAUUUGGACAAUGGGGGCAACCCUGAUCCAGCCAUGCCGCGUGAGUGAAGAAGGCCUUCGGGUUGUAAAGCUCUUUCGGCCGGGAAGAAAUCGCAUGGGCCAAUACCCUGUGUGGAUGACGGUACCGGAAUAAGAAGCACCGGCUAACUACGUGCCAGCAGCCGCGGUAAUACGUAGGGUGCGAGCGUUAAUCGGAAUUACUGGGCGUAAAGCGUGCGCAGGCGGUUUUGUAAGACAGGCGUGAAAUCCCCGGGCUUAACCUGGGAACUGCGUUUGUGACUGCAAGGCUAGAGUACGGCAGAGGGGGGUGGAAUUCCACGUGUAGCAGUGAAAUGCGUAGAGAUGUGGAGGAACACCAAUGGCGAAGGCAGCCCCCUGGGUCGAUACUGACGCUCAUGCACGAAAGCGUGGGUAGCAAACAGGAUUAGAUACCCUAGUAGUCCACGCCCUAAACUAUGUCAACUAGGUGUUGGGUGGGUAAAACCAUUUAGUACCGUAGCUAACGCGUGAAGUUGACCGCCUGGGGAGUACGGCCGCAAGGUUAAAACUCAAAGGAAUUGACGGGGACCCGCACAAGCGGUGGAUGAUGUGGAUUAAUUCGAUGCAACGCGAAAAACCUUACCUACCCUUGACAUGCCAGGAACUUGCCAGAGAUGGCUUGGUGCCCGAAAGGGAGCCUGGACACAGGUGCUGCAUGGCUGUCGUCAGCUCGUGUCGUGAGAUGUUGGGUUAAGUCCCGCAACGAGCGCAACCCUUGUCGUUAAUUGCCAUCAUUUAGUUGGGCACUUUAACGAGACUGCCGGUGACAAACCGGAGGAAGGUGGGGAUGACGUCAAGUCCUCAUGGCCCUUAUGGGUAGGGCUUCACACGUCAUACAAUGGUCGGUACAAAGGGUUGCCAAGCCGCGAGGCGGAGCCAAUCCCAGAGAGCCGAUCGUAGUCCGGAUUGCAGGCUGCAACUCGCCUGCAUGAAGUCGGAAUCGCUAGUAAUCGUGGAUCAGCAUGUCACGGUGAAUACGUUCCCGGGUCUUGUACACACCGCCCGUCACACCAUGGGAGCGGGUUCCGCCAGAAGUAGGUAGCCUAACCGCAAGGGGGGCGCUUACCACGGCGGGGUUCGUGACUGGGGUGAAGUCGUAACAAGGUAGCCGUAGGGGAACCUGCGGCUG